GAGGGGGUCGCGGCCGAUUGGUUAGUUGGCAGGGUAAUGGCCUACCAAGACGAUGAUCGGUAUCCGGCCUGAGAGGGCGCACGGACACACUGGAACUGAAACACGGUCCAGACUCCUACGGGAGGCAGCAGUGGGGAAUUUUGCGCAAUGGGGGAAACCCUGACGCAGCAACGCCGCGUGGAGGAUGAAGUCCUUCGGGACGUAAACUCCUUUCGAUCGGGACGAUUAUGACGGUACCGGAAGAAGAAGCCCCGGCUAACUUCGUGCCAGCAGCCGCGGUAAUACGAGGGGGGCGAGCGUUGUUCGGAAUUAUUGGGCGUAAAGGGUGCGUAGGCGGUUUGGUAAGUCUGAUGUGAAAUCUAUGGGCUCAACUCAUAGUCUGCAUCGGAAACUGCCGGGCUUGAGUGUGGGAGAGGUGAGUGGAAUUCCUGGUGUAGCGGUGAAAUGCGCAGAUAUCAGGAAGAACACCCGUGGCGAAGGCGGCUCUCUGGGACGGUACUGACGCUGAGACGCGAAAGCGUGGGGAGCGAACAGGAUUAGAUACCCUGGUAGUCCACGCCGUAAACGAUGGGUGCUAGGUGU
rnacentral:rRNA from 1 species